CGCACCUUGCACCUUUUGGCAUUCCGAAAGGUACAUCUGUUUGAGUGUCAUGAAUACCUCAACCUCUACAUUUCCUUGUGAAAUGUAUGAGUGUUGGAUGUUGAGCGUUGCUGUUUCACGAAGAGCUCGCUUCAAAUGUAUAAGCAAUCUUGGUGUUGGCCGGAUUGACCCGACGUGAUAAGAUCUUCGUUGGGGAUGCUUCUUCAGCAGCCGGAUGACAGACAAGUCGCUCCUAGACCUGCACACUUGUGCACAAUCCAAACAUUUAGACCUCAAAUCAGAUGGGACUACCCGCUGAACUUAA
rnacentral:misc_RNA from 1 species